rnacentral:rRNA from 1 species
CAGCCGCCGCGGUAAUACGGAGGGCGCGAGCGUUGUCCGGAUUCACUGGGCGUAAAGGGUGUGUAGGUGGCUGCCAUAGUCGGGCGUGAAAUCCCGGGGCUUAACCUCGGGUUUGCGUUCGAUACUUGGUGGCUGGAGUGCGGGAGAGGGAAGUGGAAUUCCCGGUGUAGCGGUGAAAUGCGUAGAUAUCGGGAGGAACGCCGGUGGCGAAGGCGGCUUCCUGGCCCGUUACUGACGCUGAGGCACGAAAGCCAGGGGAGCGAACCGGAUUAGAUACCCGGGUAGUCCUGGCUGUAAACCAUGGGCGCUAGGUGUGGGUGGUGGUGAGCCAUCUGUGCCGAAGCUAACGCGUUAAGCGCCCCGCCUGGGGAGUACGGUCGCAAGGCUGAAACUUAAAGGAAUUGGCGGG